rnacentral:rRNA from 1 species
AAACUUGAGAGUUUGAUCAUGGCUCAGAACGUACGCUGGCGGCACGCCUAACACAUGCAAGUCGAACGAAGUAGCAAUACUUAGUGGCAAACGGGUGAGUAAUAUGUGGGAAUCUACCCUUCGGUCUGGAAUAACAUGAGGAAACUUAUGCUAAUACCGGAUAAGCCUUUACAGGGAAAGCUUUAUGCUCCGAUUGAUGAGUCCACACUUGAUUAGUUAGUUGGUGGGGUAAUAGCUCACCAAGACAAUGAUCAAUAGCUGAUUUGAGAGGAUGAUCAGCCACAUUGGGACUGAGACACGGCCCAAACUCCUACGGGAGGCAGCAGUGGGGAAUCUUGCACAAUGGGGGAAACCCUGAUGCAGCGAUGCCGCGUGAGUGAAGAAGGCCCUUGGGUUGUAAAGCUCUUUCGUCGGGGAAGAAAAUGACUGUACCCGAAUAAGAAGGUCCGGCUAACUUCGUGCCAGCAGCCGCGGUAAUACGAAGGGACCUAGCGUAGUUCGGAAUUACUGGGCUUA